ACUUAAAUAGUUUAAGAAAAAUAUUGAUUUGUGGUGUCAAAGAUAUGUGAAAUCAUUUUAGGUU
rnacentral:tRNA from 1 species